GUUAGGCAUGACUGUGGUUGUUAAGUGGAACUCAUGAAGGAAAAUUUAAACAAUUCACACAAUCAUGGAAUGAGAAGGGACCUUUGCAAUCAUCUUUCUCUGUUUUCUCUUGGCAGAUAGGGCAGAUUGGACAGAUAAGCAGAGGACAGGGAUUUUCUUUGGGCCUUGAAAAUAGCAGAGCCUGGGAAGACAAACUGGUAAAUGAAGAGCUUUGGUGUUGCUUGGUGAUGUAUUUCUGCCAUCAUUAUCAUUCUGCUAGAAAUACUUGCUUGUUGCAGUCCUAAAUUGAAAGAUCUCACUUGGCCUCCAAGAAGCUGGGCAGCCACAAAUGAAUCAAAACAAUAGAAAACACCCAGAAAGUUC
rnacentral:lncRNA from 1 species